rnacentral:tRNA from 1 species
GGGAUAACAGGUGAUAGUACCCUUCACACGGGUGGGGUCACAGGUUCAAUCCCUGUCGCGCCCACCA